GACGAACGCUGGCGGCGUGCUUAACACAUGCAAGUCGAACGGUAAGGCCCUUCGGGGUACACGAGUGGCGAGCGGGUGAGUAACACGUGGGUGAUCUGCCCUGCACUUCGGGAUAAGCCUGGGAAACUGGGUCUAAUACCGGAUAGGACCACUGCCUGCAUGGGGGGUGGUGGAACGCUUUUGCGGUGUGGGAUGGGCCCGCGGCCUAUCAGCUUGUUGGUGGGGUGAUGGCCUACCAAGGCGACGACGGGUAGCCGGCCUGAGAGGGUGACCGGCCACACUGGGACUGAGAUACGGCCCAGACUCCUACGGGAGGCAGCAGUGGGGAAUAUUGCACAAUGGGCGCAAGCCUGAUGCAGCGACGCCGCGUGAGGGAUGACGGCCUUCGGGUCGUAAACCUCUUUCAGUAGGGACGAAGCGCAAGUGACGGUACCUACAGAAGAAGGACCGGCCAACUACGUGCCAGCCGCCGCUGUAA
rnacentral:rRNA from 1 species